GGAAGAAGGUGUAAUGAACAGUUAUCUAUAGAGAAGGUGUAAUGAACAGUCCUCUAGGGAGAAGGGAGAAGGUGUAAUGAACAGUCCUCUAGGGAGAAGGGAGAAGGUGUA